UUUACAGCUAACCAAAGGACAAAAUUCAACAUUUUUUUGAUAAUUAUUGAUCUAGAGAGUCCACAGAAUAUUACUGCAGUGGUUUGGUUCCGAUCGGGCAAAAAAUCUAGGACUAGUUCGCAAAAGUAGGUUUUUAACAUAUUUGUGAAUAACAAUUGAACGAUUUGAUUGACAGCAAUGGUUCUUGAGGCAAAGUUGUGCAUUACGAGGAGAUCUAUCAAAUGAUAUGCAUAUUGUGUUGAUAUGUGAAACACCACGUGAUUACAGAGCCAUAAAACUCGUUAGCGCCAACUAGUGGCCGAUUUCUUUCAAAAUUCUUACAGACCUUAAGGUUCAUGAGUCGAACGUACCCAGCGAGUUUCGUUCCGAUCAACAUCCGUUAACCCUUUCAAAUAGGUGCUUAAAAUUGUUUGGCCAAUGGCGGCCAUGUUUUUUGAGAUAUGUAAAUGUCCUCAUAGGUACUUGUGCCCCUUCAGACCAAGACACUGCAUACCAAUUUUCAAGUUGAUCGAGCCAACGGUUGCCUAGUUAUAGCCAUUUAUGUGUUUUUUAAAUCUUAUUGCGCCCCCAAGUGGCAGAGCUGCGCAAUUUUUUUUG